ensembl:lncRNA
AGCCACUGCACCUCCAUUCACACACACAGUUAGAGAAGUCAGAGAAUGGAAAACAUUAACACACCGGGCCAAAUGACAGAAUAAUGAUAGGAAACAUUUCCAUGUAACUCUUCAAUGACAAAAACUGAGGAACGGGAACAUGCUCUAUACUGGAUUAGAGAAGAGGAAUAGCCUGAUUUGAAGCAUUGUCACGGGAACAGCGAGACCUCCUUUAGGCCACUGGGGUAAAAUUCACAACGGUGCACAGAAGGGCAAAAUGUAGCAUCGAGGUUGUACAACCAGUGGCAGCAGCAGAGGCUUGAAUGGCAAAAGCUGCAUUGGCUGAGAAAGGAACAGUGGAUAAUACUGUGUGGUGCCUGGGCUUCUUUCUGGAUUGGAUUCUUGGAGAGAAACAGAAUUCCUUUGCCUGCGUGUGUCAUUGUAGCAGAACUGUAUCCCGUGAACUGUUUCCCUCUCGAUAGAUUGAACAUUGUACUGGAUUUCAAGCAGAAGAUGACUCAAGAGGAGAUGAAUAGCAGUUUGAUCAUGACAACACUCCCACAGCUUUACAAGUGUUCCCUGAACUUAGUGUGUUUCUUUGGAAUGACAAUUUCAUCAUGACCACCUCUCCCAUCAUCUGCUGAUCACCAGUUCUCUUAGCUACAGAUUGUUACACCAAAUAAUGUGAUUUAUCCAAAGAUCUUUGGUAUCCAUUACUGGGAGUUACAGGAAAGGUACUGUUUGGUGUAGCACCGAAUCUUCCACCAACCUUAGCGAUGCUGUCAUCCUCAAUUUGUGGAAAAAGGAGUCUCAUAAAAUGUCUGUGUCCAGUUGCAAGGGGGUCUGUUUGAAUUUAGAAAACGCACAGUUAAGUAAUCCAACAAUUUGUACGCUGCCAUCUUGUCUAUUUCAAGUCUUCUCUCAUUGAUCAAGACAGGUGUCUGUCAUCAUGACAUGCGGCAUGGACACCUUUCAAUGGUCUGACAAACACAGCUGUAGCUCGGCCACCUUCCACCACAGAUGCAGAAGGCAGACAUAGGCGAAUGCGGUGGAUUGAGACGCAGCCCAUGCAAAAAUAAACAUAUCUCUAGCUUAAAUGUAUUAAUUCUGAUGUUUAAAAAAAAUAUAUAUAUUACUUUGAUGCACGAGUCAAGACUCUUAAAGUAUUAAAAACAAAGUAGUCACACACAGGUUCAUUUAGAAUGUGCUCCAAAAAAGUUACUAACUUGUGUUAACACAAUACAGCUCUGAUCAUGUACUGUCAGUCCAAACCUUCAAAAGCCAACAUUACAUGGAACCCAAUUACAUCGUGAAUACAUGGCAUUCAAUUACAUCAGGUUCAGCAGCGGGAUGAUUUUUGUUGUUGAGUGGAUGGUCAGGGGGCUGGAACAUAAUUACAAAUAAUUUGUAGUCUGCAAAUUGACAGUAAACAGAUACUAUUUCACAUAAACAAUCAUUUCAAACCUUGCUUACAUUUGUAUAUGAUCAUAAACACUGAGUGUAGCCUACAAAACAUUAGGAACACCUUCCUAAUAUUAAGUUGCACCCCCCUUUGCUGUCAGAACAGCCUCAAUUCGUUGGGGCAUGGACUAUACAAGAUGUCGAAAGCCUUCCACAGGGAUGAUGGCCUAUGUUGACUCCAUUGCGUCCCACAGUUGUGUCAAGUUGGCUGGAUGUCUUUUGGGUGGUGGACCAUUGUUGAUACACACGGGAAACUGUUGAGCAUGAAAAACUAGUGAUGUUACGUUUAAUGCCAGAGCUUCCGAGGCAUGCAUCGAAAUUGCUAAGCAGUGUACUUCGAAGUAGUGUGCCGAUGCCUGUUUCGCUUUGUCCGAAUUGCGUGAUCAAUGACGUCCAAAGCUUUGUUUUCAUUUAACAACCAGUGUACAAAAGGGAGGGGGGGUCAAUGUAAAUUGUCCGGUUCCAAUUAUAUUAAUUGUUCAGCAGUCUUAUGGCUUGGGGGUAGAAGCUGUUGAGGAGCCUUUUGGUUCUUGUCACGCCCUGACCUGAGAGAGCCUUUUUAUGUCUCUAUUUAGGUUUGGUCAGGGUGUAAUUUGGGUGUCUGUAUUUCUAUGUCUGUAUUUCUAUGUUGGGGAUUGCAUUGUUUCGGCCGGGUAUGGCUCCCAAUCAGGAACAGCUGUACAUCGUUGUUGCUGAUUUGGAGUCAUACUUAGGCAGCAUGUUUUUCCUUUGGGUUUUGUGGGUAGAUGUUUUCUGUUUAGUGUGUUAGGAUACCUGACAGGACUGUUUCGCUGUCGUCUGUUUUUUCUUUGUGAAGUGCCUUUUUUCAUCUAAAAUAAAAGAUGAACAAAUUCCACGCUGCACCUUGGUCCCCUCUUUCAGAUGAUCGUUACAGUCCUAGACUUGGCGCUCCGGUAC